rnacentral:rRNA from 1 species
GUACGGGAGGCAGCAGUAGGGAAUAUUGGACAAUGGGUGCGAGCCUGAUCCAGCCAUGCCGCGUGCAGGAAGACGGCCUUCUGGGUUGUAAACUGCUUUUGCCAGGGGAUAAAACGUCCAUGCGUGGAUAAUUGAAGGUACCUGGUGAAUAAGCCACGGCUAACUACGUGCCAGCAGCCGCGGUAAUACGUAGGUGGCAAGCGUUGUCCGGAUUUAUUGGGUUUAAAGGGUGCGUAGGUGGUUCCAUAAGUCAGUGGUGAAAUACGGCAGCUUAACUGUCGAGGUGCCAUUGAUACUGCGGAACUUGAGUACAGACGAGGUAGGCGGAAUUGACGGUGUAGCGGUGAAAUGCUUAGAUAUCGUCAAGAACACCGAUAGCGAAGGCAGCUUACUAGACUGUAACUGACACUGAGGCACGAAAGUGUGGGGAUCAAACAGGAUUAGAUACCCCGGU